UAGGUAGAAGCCAGUUGGUUUAGGGCAUAUGGCUGUUAACCAUAGCGUCGUGGGAUCAAAGCCCACCUGCCUAG
rnacentral:tRNA from 1 species